rnacentral:lncRNA from 1 species
AUGAGGCUACUUCUGCUCCUGGGCCAGCGCCAUCUGUGGAGCCUGGACGCUGCCCAUGCAGUCCAGCUCCAGGAAGCAGAGACACGAGGGACCCCGGCGGUGAGGGACAGGCUCUUGGCAGGCACACAGACGGGGGCCUUAGCAAAACAGAGGCGCCGGCAACGUGAGUUCCACAUCCACCCCAGCCCCAACAAGAGAGCGACAAGUCUUGCAAACAGUGACACAAACACUGCCAGGCUGUCCUGGGAACACCGGGCUCUGCAGAUAAAACACAGCCUCACGGAAUGACAAACAGUGCUCUCCGAAGGGUGACACGGGCGGUGACGAGCUCUGCAAACAGCUCAUGACUCUGCAAAUAAUGACACCCAGCGCCAGGCCCUGCAAACAGCGGAAGGAGCCACACCUGGGUGUGCACAGCCCAUCAGGCCGCCCUGGGUUGUUUCAGAUGCUGGCCCUGGGAGCACCGGUGGGGCCUGGGGUGGGGAGGAAGGACAAGCCCCAGAACGCAACAGGCCCUGCAGGUGUGCCCUCUGCUUUGCGCUUCGCUGCAGCGCCUGGAGGGGUGAGGUGUGCAGAGACAGUCGCUCUUGGGGAACCAUGCCUGCCACACUUAUGAGGCUCCCCGAGUGCCCUCUGGCCCGGGGUUGGCGUGUGUUCUACUCUAAAGAGGAGGUGCUGCUCCUCUGGGCAGCACGAGGUUAGGGGUGCAGACCGCAGGCAAGAACUGCUGGAGCCCUGGCUCUGGGCCCUGCGAGAGAUUAUUUCACCUCUAUGCGCCUCAGUGUGCUCAUCUGGAAGAUGGGGGCAAGAACCCCACUUAGCUCAGGGUCUGCUGGUGAGAAUGGAAUGAGUUCAUACAUGUGAAUGCCCAUAGGCGUCGGUGCAGAAGCUUCAGCCAGCCGAGCCCAGAGCCCUGCUGUGGUCUCGCCUCACCCUUCCCGCGGGCCCCUUGCACUCCACACUCCUCCCUCGCUGACUUCCGUCCACCUCGCCCGUCACGUCCUUUUGGUCUCUGCUCAGCUGUCCCACCGCGGUCAGGCUUCCCUGGCUUUCCUGUUCAAUGUGACUCUCUCCAGCUCCCUCUCCUCCUCACCCCGCUUUUCACUCU